GUAAAUGCUUUUCUUGGAAUACUGCUAGAAGACUUACAUGCUAAUGGGAGAAAGGAUGAAGAGCCAAAAUGAGACGUGGCAGAUGUAGAAGAAGCUGAAGAAAAUCUGGAGCACAAAAUCAUUUGCAGCAUGUGGGGGAUCCCAGGAGGGUGGAAGGUCAGAGGGAACAUUAAAUCAGCAUGCUGUCAAUUGGGAAUGUGUUUUAUUGUGGGAUAUGCAUCUUUCCAAAACCAGCAUCCAUGGGCACCUUUAAAAUACUGAAGAGGAUGAUAACAUUCAAAUAUGAUGUUUUAAUCACACUUUGGUUCCUAAGUGAAAAUAAUAAUGGUUGAAGCAAUAAUAGUAAUUAAAAUAAAUAUAACUGUGUAUCAUUCUUGCUAUUAUUUAUGCUUUUCAGAAAGUUUUAUGGCUCAGCAGAAAAGGAAGAUUUUUCAGGCCUUCAUUAAUAGGACUAUUACAUCCCAGUGACUGUAGCAAACCACUUCACAAAUCUAAAGUGUUGAAAAUAACUUGAGCUUUCUGCAGAACACCCCGUACUUUAGGUCUCUGCUGUCUCCUGCAACUCAAAUUUGCAUUGUACUCAACAGAUAAACACCAUUAUUAGGCUAGGCAUUUAGGCAAUGAGAUGCAGUCAGUUUCAUUUCAUGCCAAGUUUCAGUCGGCAUCUCACUGUUUCAAUAAGUAGCUUCUUAAUGUGAUGUUAAAUCCCUGCUUUUCUCCAAAUCUCCCUCUCUGGAAUGUGGCUGAUUUGGCAGACCUGCAUAAACACAUGGAAAAACAGCAGCAAGUAAGUAACAUGGGUAAUCUCUGCACUGCAUUUGAACUUUGUGUUAGUUGGCCUAUUUUAGCCUUGGAUAAAAGCUUUUCUUCCAGCUCUACAGCACGAGGACAUCCACUGUGUCUCCUGGAGUUGCAGACUACUCCUUGCCACUGCUGGUGGGGCCAGCCCCUGAGAUCUGGGCUUUGCUCUCACACACGCUUUCACUAUCAUCUGAGACAUAUUGUGCAGGCAAAACCAGACUGCCCCAGAGUGCAGAGGAUCACCCGGAGCGGAGGCAACCAGGAUACGUGCCUUGGUCUGGAAGGUGUGGGGGUGUUCCUGUGCUCCCAGCAAAGACAGGGGCAGGAGAGCCUGCAAUCUCUGUGUGACUCUCUCCCUCAGCAGCAGGAUGAAGAUGAAGAUUUCCUUUUGCUGUCAUGUCAGACAAGAGGUAUGUGCUCUGGGGUCACAUUACCACCAGAUGUACUUUGUUAG
rnacentral:lncRNA from 1 species